ACUCCUACGGGAGGCAGCAGUGGGAAUAUUGCACAAUGGGCGCAAGCCUGAUGCAGCCAUGCCGCGUGUGUGAAGAAGGCCUUCGGGUUGUAAAGCACUUUCAGUUGUGAGGAAGGUGGUGUCGUUAAUAGCGGCAUUAUUUGACGUUAGCAACAGAAGAAGCACCGGCUAACUCCGUGCCAGCAGCCGCGGUAAUACGGAGGGGUUGAGCGUUGUUCGGAAUUACUGGGCGUAAAGCGCACGUAGGCGGAUCGGAAAGUUGGGGUGAAUACCGGGCGUCAACCCGACGGCAGCUCCAAAACUAUCGGUCUAGAGUUCGAGAGAGGUGAGUGGAAUUCCGAGUGUAGAGGUGAAAUUCGUAGAUAUUCGGAGGAACACCAGUGGCGAAGGCGGCUCACUGGCUCGAUACUGACGCUGAGGUGCGAAAGUGUGGGAGCAAACA
rnacentral:rRNA from 1 species